GCAACCUAUGGGGCGCAGCAGUGGGGAAUAUUGCGCAACGGGCGAAAGCCUGACGCAGCGACGCCGCGUGAGGGAUGAAGGUCUUCGGAUCGUAAACCUCUGUCAGCAGGGAAGAACGGUCACUGUGCUAAUCAGCAGUGAAUUGACGGUACCUGCAAAGGAAGCACCGGCUAACUCCGUGCCAGCAGCCGCGGUAAUACGGAGGGUGCGAGCGUUAUCCGGAUUUAUUGGGUUUAAAGGGUGCGCAGGCGGCACGGCAAGCCGGCGGUCAAAUCGCGGGGCUCAACCCCGCCCAGCCGUCGGAC
rnacentral:rRNA from 1 species